AGGGUGUGGAGGAGAAAGAGGGUGUGGAGGAGAAAGAGGGUGUGCAGGAGAAAGAGGGAAAUGCUGAAGAAGUCACCCAAAAGCCGGAAGCAGUGGACUCUGGGAAAAGAGAAAAGCCCUCUGGCAAAGAUGAGCGGAUGGUGGAGAAAAAGGAAAAGAAAGAGACGACAACAGAGAAGGAGAGAAAUAAAGUCCCCCCCCGACCUGAGGCAGAGGGCCCUGGAGAGAGUGAGAGCACCUCUGAGGGAGAAGGAAAGAAGCAGGAAGUGGUAAAGACGGAGAAGGAGA